rnacentral:rRNA from 1 species
AACCCCGGCGAGGGGAGUGAAAAAGAACCUGAAACCGUGUACGUACAAGCAGUGGGAGCACCCUUUGGGGUGUGACUGCGUACCUUUUGUAUAAUGGGUCAGCGACUUAUAUUCUGUAGCAAGGUUAACCGUAUAGGGGAGCCGGAGGGAAACCGAGUCUUAACCGGGCGUUAAGUUGCAGGGUAUAGACCCGAAACCCGGUGAUCUAGCCAUGGGCAGGUUGAAGGUUGGGUAACACUAACUGGAGGACCGAACCGACUAAUGUUGAAAAAUUAGCGGAUGACCUGUGGCUGGGGGUGAAAGGCCAAUCAAACCGGGAGAUAGCUGGUUCUCCCCGAAAGCUAUUUAGGUAGCGCCUCGUGAAUUCAUCUCCGGGGGUAGAGCACUGUUUCGGCUAGGGGGCCAUCCCGGCUUACCAACCCGAUGCAAACUGCGAAUACCGGAGAAUGUUAUCACGGGAGACACACGGCGGGUGCUAACGUCCGUCGUGAAGAGGGAAACAACCCAGACCGCCAGCUAAGGUCCCAAAGUCAUGGUUAAGUGGGAAACGAUGUGGGAAGGCCCAGACAGCCAGGAUGUUGGCUUAGAAGCAGCCAUCAUUUAAAGAAAGCGUAAUAGCUCACUGGUCGAGUCGGCCUGCGCGGAAGAUGUAACGGGGCUAAACCAUG